rnacentral:rRNA from 1 species
CGGCGGACGGGUGAGUAACACGUGGAUAACCUACCUAUAAGACUGGGAUGACUUCGGGAAACCGGAGUUAAUACCGGAUAAUAUAUUGAACCGCAUGGUUCAAUAGUGAAAGACGGGUUUGCUGUCACUUAUAGAUGGAUCCGCGCCGCAUUAGCUAGUUGGUAAGGUAACGGCUUACCAAGGCAACGAUGCGUAGCCGACCUGAGAGGGUGAUCGGCCACACUGGAACUGAGACACGGUCCAG